rnacentral:rRNA from 1 species
UAGUUGAGCGCUUCAGCCAAAAAGAGGCGCAGCGUACAGCUCAGUAGCACGUGGCUAAUCUGCCCUUAGGAUAGGAACAACCCCGGGAAACUGGGGCUAAUUCCCAAUAGGCGAAGAACUCUGGAAUGAGUCUUCACCAGAAAAGAGCCUACGUUAUGCGCGUGGGUCUCGCCUAAGGAUGAGGCCGCGGCCGAUCAGGUUGUUGGUGAGGUAAUGGCUCACCAAGCCUUUUACCGGUGCGGGCCGUGAGAGCGGGAGCCCGGAGAUGGGUACUGAGACAAGGACCCAGGCCCUACGGGGCGCAGCAGUCGCGAAACCUUUGCAAUACACGCAAGUGUGACAGGGCUAUCCCGAGUGCCAUCCGCUGAGGAAGGCUUUUACCCAGUCUAGAAAGCUGGGGGAAUAAGGAGAGGGCAAGUCUGGUGUCAGCCGCCGCGGUAAUACCAGCUCUCCGAGUGGUGUGGAUGUUUAUUGGGCCUAAAGCAUCCGUAGCUGGCUAAGUUAGUCCCCUGUUAAAUCCACCGAAUUAAUCGUUGGAUUGCGGGGGAUACUGCUUGGCCAGGGGGCGGGAGAGGCAGACGGUAUUUCCGGGGUAGGGGUGAAAUCCUAUAAUCCCGGGAAGACCACCAGUGGCGAAGGCUGUCUGCUAGAACGCGCCCGACGGUGAGGGAUGAAAGCUGGGGGAGCGAACCGGAUUAGAUACCCGGGUAGUCCCAGCUGUAAACUAUGCAGGCUAGGUGUUUGGGCGGCCACGUGCCGCUCUAGUGCCGCAGGGAAGCUGUUAAGCCUGCCGCCUGGGGAGUACGGCCGCAAGGCUGAAACUAAAGGAAUGCGGG